UGGGUAACCUGCCCUUAACUCUGGGAUAAGCCUGGGAAACUGGGUCUAAUACCGGAUAUGACUCCUCAUCGCAUGGUGGGGGGUGGAAAGCUUUUUGUGGUUUUGGAUGGACUCGCGGCCUAUCAGCUUGUUGGUGAGGUAAUGGCCCACCAAGGCGACGACGGGUAGCCGGCCUGAGAGGGUGACCGGCCACACUGGGACUGAGACACGGCCCAGACUCCUACGGGAGCAG
rnacentral:rRNA from 1 species